GACGAACGCUGGCGGCGUGCUUAACACAUGCAAGUCGAACGGAAAGGCCCUGCUUGCAGGGUACUUGAGUGGCGAACGGGUGAGUAACACGUGGGUGAUCUGCCCUGCACUUCGGGAUAAGCCUGGGAAACUGGGUCUAAUACCGGAUAUGACCUUCCAUGUAGUGUGGGGGGUGGAAAGAUUUAUCGGUGUGGGAUGAGCCCGCGGCCUAUCAGCUUGUUGGUGGGGUAAUGGCCUACCAAGGCGUCGACGGGUAGCCGGCCUGAGAGGGUGGACGGCCACAUUGGGACUGAGAUACGGCCCAGACUCCUACGGGAGGCAGCAGUGGGGAAUAUUGCACAAUGGGCGGAAGCCUGAUGCAGCGACGCCGCGUGGGGGAUGACGGCCUUCGGGUUGUAAACCUCUUUCGACAGGGACGAAGCUUCGGUGACGGUACCUGUAUAAGAAGCACCGGCUAACUACGUG
rnacentral:rRNA from 1 species